rnacentral:rRNA from 1 species
CAAUCAAACCGGGAGAUAGCUGGUUCUCCCCGAAAGCUAUUUAGGUAGCGCCUCGUGAAUUCAUCUCCGGGGGUAGAGCACUGUUUCGGCUAGGGGGCCAUCCCGGCUUACCAACCCGAUGCAAACUGCGAAUACCGGAGAAUGUUAUCACGGGAGACACACGGCGGGUGCUAACGUCCGUCGUGAAGAGGGAAACAACCCAGACCGCCAGCUAAGGUCCCAAAGUCAUGGUUAAGUGGGAAACGAUGUGGGAAGGCCCAGACAGCCAGGAUGUUGGCUUAGAAGCAGCCAUCAUUUAAAGAAAGCGUAAUAGCUCACUGGUCGAGUCGGCCUGCGCGGAAGAUGUAACGGGGCUAAACCAUGCACCGAAGCUGCGGCAGCGAACGUAUCACCCAAGACAACUUUACGGAGUUGACGAUUGACGGAGCGAAGCGACGUCAAAGCGUUCAUUAAAGUCGAGUUGGCUUAGGGAUACGUUCGUUGGGUAGGGGAGCGUUCUGUAAGCCUGUGAAGGUGUGUCGUGAGGCAUGCUGGAGGUAUCAGAAGUGCGAAUGCUGACAUAAGUAACGAUAAAGCGGGUGAAAAGCCCGCUCGCCGGAAGACCAAGGGUUCCUGUCCAACGUUAAUCGGGGCAGGGUGAGUCGACCCCUAAGGCGAGGCCGAAAGGCGUAGUCGAUGGGAAACGGGUUAAUAUUCCCGUACUUGGUGUUACUGCGAAGGGGGGACGGAGAAGGCUAUGUUGGCCGGGCGACGGUUGUCCCGGUUUAAGCGUGUAGGUGUGUGUUCCAGGUAAAUCCGGUUCACUUUAACACUGAGGCGUGACGACGAGGCACUACGGUGCUGAAGCAACAAAUGCCCUGCUUCCAGGAAAAGCCUCUAAGCAUCAGGUAACAUCA